UACAGAGGGUGCAAGCGUUGCUCGGAAUCAUUGGGCGUAAAGGGUAGGUAGGUGGUCUCGUUUGUCUGGGGUGAAAGCCCAGGGCUUAACCCUGGAAGUGCCCCGGAAACGGCGAGACUGGAGUAUUGGAGAGGGUCGUGGAAUUCCCGGUGUAGCGGUGAAAUGCGUAGAGAUCCGGAAGAACACCGGUGGCGAAGGCGGCCUGCUGGGCAAUUGCUGACACUGAGGCGCGACAGCGUGGGGAGCAAACAGG
rnacentral:rRNA from 1 species